AUUGAACGCUGGCGGCAGGCUUAACACAUGCAAGUCGAGCGGUAGCACAAGAGAGCUUGCUCUCUGGGUGACGGGCGGCGGACGGGUGAGUAAUGUCUGGGAAACUGCCUGAUGGAGGGGGAUAACUACUGGAAACGGUAGCUAAUACCGCAUAACGUCGCAAGACCAAAGAGGGGGACCUUCGGGCCUCUUGCCAUCAGAUGUGCCCAGAUGGGAUUAGCUAGUAGGUGGGGUAAUGGCUCACCUAGGCGACGAUCCCUAGCUGGUCUGAGAGGAUGACCAGCCACACUGGAACUGAGACACGGUCCAGACUCCUACGGGAGGCAGCAGUGGGGAAUAUUGCACAAUGGGCGCAAGCCUGAUGCAGCCAUGCCGCGUGUGUGAAGAAGGCCUUCGGGUUGUAAAGCACUUUCAGCGAGGAGGAAGGUGGUGAACUUAAUACGCUCAUCAAUUGACGUUACUCGCAGAAGAAGCACCGGCUAACUCCGUGCCAGCAGCCGCGGUAAUACGGAGGGUGCAAGCGUUAAUCGGAAUUACUGGGCGUAAAGCGCACGCA
rnacentral:rRNA from 1 species